rnacentral:lncRNA from 1 species
UAUGCCGCGUCUUCUCAACUUUAUUUUACAUUUUUUUUCUACAUAGACCAUGAUAAUAUUAAGUGGUAAGCUCAAAUUCAUCUGGCAUAGUAUAUAAUUUUGCAAGGACAAGUUAUUAACGGGUAUUUUGGAAGUAUAACUCUACCUACCAACAUGCAACCCCAAAUUUUGACUCCAACUACUAGUUAACAUCAUGUACUGAAAAAGGGCUAAAAGUAAAAUAAAAUAAAAUAAAUGACUA